CCAGAUUCCACUGAUGAAAGAUCCUGGUUGGAUUCGAAACGUCUGGACUCGCAAUCUAAACGCCAGGUUGAGCCUGAGAGGAGUGUACACCACCGGCUGGCCCUUUGGACGUGGCACUUUUGAAGGACUUCCCCUGCGAGGAAGCAAGCAGUGCUGUGCCUGCGGGCCUCAGAGGGUAGUGUCUAAUUUUGAAUUCACAGGUAUAAAAAUAAUUUCUGUGUCCUGAGACAGGGCAGGCACUGUGGCUAAGAUUUGUCACGAGCAAGAACAGUUGCAGAAGUCUCUGCUUAGGAGAUCAGGAGACCUGCUGGUGUGACUUGUUGGGAUGAAGCAUGAGCCCUUUGGUUUGUUUUGUUUUGUCUAUAACCCUCCUGAAGAGUGGGGUGUAUGUGCUGUCCCAGCAGGUCCUUCCCCACCAAGGAAAAGGAAGUUGUGGCCGUGCUGCACCUAGAAAUUUUGUUGUGUAUGCAGACUAAGCAUUAACAGGAGUGACCUACACCGUGUAAUUUUGAGUCUAAAUGUAGCCAUCUUUAAGUUUAAUGUUAGCUCAGUAAGAAAUCUGUUUCUUACUGUGCUUUAGGUUAGAAAAAUGCCACAUAGAAACUGAAGUAUUUUUCCAAAGCAAAGAUGAUUUUAAAAAUCUGCUUACAUCUGUUAACUCUGGAGGCUCUUGUCUGAACUUAGGUCUGUGCGUGCGGUGCCUGCUUUUUAAAGAGCUCAGAUGAGGGCUACCAAAAUAAUUAGGGGAUCGGAGCUCCUGACAUUUAGGAGAGGCAGGGAGAGCUCGUUUUGCUUGUCUUCAGGGUACUCAGCUACCUGUUGGGAGGUACAGAGGAAACAGAGCCAGCAUCUUCUUCGAGGUGCGUCGAUACAGGACAAGAGGCAAUGAACACAAGUUGCAGCUCGGGAAAUUCUGAUGAGAUAUUAGGGAGAAAAUUGUCACUGUGAGGACAAUGAGACAUGGGGACAGGUGCCUGGAGAGGCUGUGAAAUCUCUAUCCUGAGGACACUGGGAACUCAGUGGGACCAAGGUCCUGGGCAAGCUGGUGUAUGCUGACCCUACUUUGAGCACCCUUUUGGAGCAGGUGACCUCCAGAAGUCCCUUCUGACCUGUGGUUCUGUGAGUCUGUGACACAGCAUAGGGUGUGUCAUGAGUUAAGGUUCUCUGUGAAACAGCUCACUGCUGGAUUUGCAUUCAGGAAAGUAUGUUACUAACGUAUGAAUUGU
rnacentral:lncRNA from 1 species